rnacentral:lncRNA from 1 species
CCAUUCAUGGGAAUUUGUCAUUACUGGCAAAUCUGAAAUAUUGGUGGAUAUAGAGUGUAUUGAAGACCUCUAAAGAUAAGACGGAGGCGUUCCCAUGUCACGGGCAGUGAACACCAAGACCAUGUAAGGCCCUUGAGAGGGAACCAGCUUCAGUUGUCUUCAGUUUUAGGAAGAUGUCACCCACAAUGUGAAUAACUUCAUCCUGCUGUGAAUGUUGACCACCAAAGGGAAAAAUAUUCCCAUGAGAGUUCAAAGGAUGCGAACAGACUUCUGCAAAUGCUAGGAGAAAGAAUCCAAGAAGUUCCCAAAGAUGCAGAUGGAGAUGCUGGCAAACAGCAUUAGCACCAGCUAAGGUUGUUUUUGCCAACAAAGGAAAAGGAUGUGGCUUAUGUAACAGUUUAAGGACCAAAAGGAAGUUGCAAUGAGUUUAGAGAGAGGAACCGAAGACAGUAAUAUGAAUUUGACCUCGGAUGUGAAAGCGUGUAAUAUUUCAUCUUGCCAGAUAACACAAGAAUGAAUCAUACAAAACAGUUUUGAAAAGAUUCAUGCAGGCUCCUCUCCAAAGUUUCUGUAAGGUUCCCGCCAGGGAACGGACAGAGCGUUGACMACCUCGCAUCCCUACUGCUAAUGGCCAGUCCCCACUUACAGUGAAUGUACUGCGGAGGGGACUCCUCGGACCACUGUGAAAGAGUCAAGGAAUGAGCUAACACAGUGUGGACAUUCACUAGUCCAG